rnacentral:lncRNA from 1 species
AAACAGCAAUCUGUGUCCACCGUCAAGCCCAAUGGCACCCGACAGUAUGGAACAGCCUAAACACUGCUGUAAAAAUAAGCCCAGCAUCCCAGCACGAGCGUAAAAUACUCUGCACUAUCCAGAACAUUCAUCGCCCACAAACCGCGGUGAUACAAUCAAACUACGGCUUCUAAAGCUAAUUCUGGUAGUUUUAACAUAUGACAGUGUAGAAGCGCCAGUUUUCUCCUAAGUCAAGUCCAAGUUCAACAUGUAUUAUUUAUCUAACUCACUUCAGCAUGCUUCAAAUUCAGAUUUCGUUUAACAUGCUAAUCGAUGAAUUCGAGCUAACAACAUAGUAUACAAAAGCUGAAAAU